rnacentral:rRNA from 1 species
GAACGACGCUGGCGGCAGGCCUAACACAUGCAAGUCGAGCGAGGUAGCAAUACCUAGCGGCGGACGGGUGAGUAACGCGUGGGAACGUACCCUUUGCUACGGAAUAGCCCCGGGAAACUGGGAGUAAUACCGUAUGUGCCCUUCGGGGGAAAGAUUUAUCGGCAAAGGAUCGGCCCGCGUUGGAUUAGGUAGUUGGUGGGGUAAUGGCCUACCAAGCCGACGAUCCAUAGCUGGUUUGAGAGGAUGAUCAGCCACACUGGGACUGAGACACGGCCCAGACUCCUACGGGAGGCAGCAGUGGGGAAUCUUAGACAAUGGGCGCAAGCCUGAUCUAGCCAUGCCGCGUGAGUGAUGAAGGCCUUAGGGUUGUAAAGCUCUUUCAGAUGGGAAGAUAAUGACGGUACCAUCAGAAGAAGCCCCGGCUAACUCCGUG